GGCCAAUCGAGGGCGACGUCGCAGACCUUAUCAAAGACGUCUCCACAGCUAGGUGGAGACCACCUUCGCCGUCAACCGGGAUCAAAGACGUCUUCACAGGUGGGUGGAGACCACCAUCGGCGUGAACCGGGCCAACCUCCUCCAAGCCGACGUCUUGACCUCAUCAAAGAAGUCUCCCUCAAGGACCGCGAGCUCAGGAUUGUGGGCGAGGUCGGUGCCAAGAUCCGAGUCUUAGACUUCAUUUCUCCCGAUGUCCAGGUUCUAAAUUUAAUGGUUUAAAAACCCGAAUUGAAGACGUAGCUAGAAGAAGAAGAAGAGGGCGUGUAGUACUAAGGAAAAGAAAGCUGAGAAGGACACAAUUGUUUGUUACUCAAAAGGCGCUUACAUCGAUUCAAUAAAGAAGAUGAAUUGGGCAGAAUUUGUGUUGUCCUAUCUUGUGCACGGGAUUGAAGAGUUUAAGAAGAAACAACAAAGUGGGGUUUGCGGUUGCUUAUUGUUUUUAAUGUUAUUCUACCACGAGCAUAUAUCAUUUGAAG